AAAUCUGCCCGUACCGUAAACCGACACAGGUGGGUGGGGUGAAAAUCCUAAGGCGCGCGAGUGAGACUUGGUUAAGGAACUAGGCAAAAUUAUCCCCUAACUUCGGAAGAAGGGAUGCUCCUUGUUAACUCAAGGAGCCGCAGUGAAAGGGGCAUCGUGACUGUUUAACAAAAACACAGGACUCUGCUGAAAUCGCAAGAUGAUGUAUAGGGUCUGACUCCUGCCCGGUGCUGGAAGGUCAAGGGGAGUGGUUAGCCGCAAGGCGAAGCUACGAACUCAAGCCCCAGUAAACGGCGGCGGUAACUAUAACCGUCCUAAGGUAGCGAAAUUCCUUGUCGGGUAAGUUCCGACCUGCACGAAUGGAGUAACAAAGAUGCCGCUGUCUCAACCAAGUGCUCGGCGAAAUUGUGGUACGAGUGAAGACGCUCGUUACGCGUGGUUAGACGAAAAGACCCCGUGGAGCUUUACUGUAACUUGUCAUUGUGUUAUGGAAUUAAUUGCGUAGAAUAGCUGGGAGCCUUUGAUGCAGGGGUUGUGGCCCUUGUUGAGGCGCAAUGUGAAAUACCAGCCUAUCGAUUCUGUGACACUAACCUACGGCCGUAAUCCGGCCUAGGGACCGUGACAGGCGGGCAGUUUGACUGGGGCGGUCGCCUCCUAAACGGUAACGGAGGCGUUCCAAGGUUAGCUCAGGGCGUAUAGUAAUCGCCUAUAGAGUGCAUUGGCAGAAGCUAGCUUGACUGCAAGGCCUACAAGCCGGGCAGGGACGAAAGUCGGACAAAGUGAUCCGGUGGUACCUCGUGGGAGGGCCAUCGCUCAACGGAUAAAAGCUACCCCGGGGAUAACAGGCUGAUCUGGUCCAAGAGUUCACAUCGACGACCAGGUUUGGCACCUCGAUGUCGGCUCAUCGCAUCCUCCCGCUGGAGCAGGUGGGAAGGGUUGGGCUGUUCGCCCAUUAAAGCGGUACGUGAGCUGGGUUCAGUACGUCGUGAGACAGUACGGUCUCUAUCUACCAUGCGCGUUAGGAAACUUGAGAGGAGCUGUCCCUAGUACGAGAGGACCGGGAUGGACGAACCGCCUGUAUGCCAGUUAUCCCGCCAGGGGUAUCGCUGGGUAGCGGUGUUCGGAAGGGAUAAACGCUGAAAGCAUCUAAGCGUGAAACCCUCCUCAAGAUAAGGUUUCCCGGGUCGCAAGACCCCCGAAGGACGCAGGAAGACUACCUGCUUGAUAGGCUGCGAGUGUAAGGGCCGCGAGGUCUUAAGCGAAGCAGUACUAAUCGUCCGAGAGUCUUGGCCGU
rnacentral:rRNA from 1 species